rnacentral:lncRNA from 1 species
GUAUUGCUUCGGCCUUUGUUUCCAUGAUCUUCGUUCUGAGAAAUUAAAAGGGAGGAGAUAGAGUGAUAAUCAGAGUAGAAGAAGAAUUCGGUAGGUGUGGAAGGAUCGGGACCACCGAUGGUGGCGGAAGAGAGAAGCAACGUCGCUAGAGGGGAGAUGAAGCAGAAUAAACGAAACAAAAAAAAGUGGAACAAUUGGGAAGAGAAAGCAAAGAAAGAGCGGUGGAGGAUUAAAGGGUGAGUAAGAAAGGAGAUGCAGAAGAAACAAACACGUAUUGUAUCCUGGCAGUGGUGGAACAAAAGAAGCAGGAAAAACAACCAGACUAACCUGGAAAGAAAACCAACGAUCGUCUAGCAAAGAGCAAAAGAAAGGAGAGACGUAGAACGUAAGCGGUGGAAAAAGUGAAAAUGACCGCAGAAACAGAAACACGUGGAAAGAGGUAUGAGAAAUUAAGACAUUUGUAAUCCACUAUGAGAAGAGGUUGAGAAAGAAAGACAUGUGUAAUCCACCAUUAAGUGCAACAUAAAAUAUGAAUUAAAUGAAAGAAGACAACAAAGGAAAAGAAAAUGAAAAUUUCAAAAAGAAAAUUCAGCCAAUAGGAGGAUAGAACUGUUCAAGUGUACCUUGUGAAUUAGUAAUUAUAUAUAAUAACAAUUAUCAAUCAUUUUAAACCGCAAACUAUACAUAACUUUAUUAAUGCCCAAACAACAAGUAGAUAUCGUUGGGAUAAUUUAAUUCAAAUCAAAUAUUCAUCUUAAACCAUAUUAUUUUUUAAUUUUAUAAUGAAAAUUAUGUUCAAUAAUUAUAACAAUCACAACUCUUUCCAUAGGUUGUAAUAGAUAUCUCACUUAUAUGAUUCAAUAUAAUGACAAUGUUAUUUUAAAUUUAAUAUAAAAAAAUAUUAUUUCAUAGUUAUGGCAAUGAUUUAGUUAUUUUUAAUCACACAAUUGUCUAUAUCUAGCUAUAUAAUACUAUUUUGCUUCAAUAUGUGGGUAUUCUAUUAGUUUACAAUUACAUAUAUAGGUUGCAUAUAUUAACAAAACAAGUACAUGCCCAGGAUAUGCAAUAUAUAAACUUUUACAAUUAAAAAUGGAUGUCUUUGCAUACGAGCUUUGCAAACAUAAGAUAAGCAAACUUAAGACAUCAAGUGCCAAGCACUCCUUGAUUCACAUUCAUGCCUCAAACUACUCUCUGGCAAAUUGCAGUGAAUAAUCACAUGUAGAAGCACUUCAAAUUCACUGGUUUUUACACAUUUCAGAUUUAGCAAACUCAUAUUUCAAGAAAUAAAAAGAAAGAGAUAGAUAAAUGAAGGAAGUGGGCAUUUGGUCUAGUGGUAUGAUUCUCGCUUUGGGUGCGAGAGGUCCCGAGUUCGAUUCUCGGAAUGCCCCAAUCUUUUUCCUCAACAAAAUCAAUACAUUUUAUAUAUAAAAAAUUAAGUGCAUCCAUUUUGUUUAAUUUAAUAUUCUACUCACUAAAGUCAAUCGAGGACUUCUGGAAACAGAUCUACCUACUCAAAAUGGACACAUUUUAAUUUAUAUACCACAAAACAUGUGCUUUCAUAUCUGAAAAGAUGCUUGGUGAAAAUAUAAUAUGCAACUGCCUACCAGAAUAAGAUAUCUUUCUGCUACCUGUUAUAUUUUUACUAGUAUUAUGUACUUACUGCAUUUAUAUAAUUAACUCACAACAGAAAGUAAAUGACUAUAAAUGCAGUAGACUAAACAAAAAUGGGCAUUUGGUCUAGUGGUAUGAUUCUCGCUUAGGGUGCGAGAGGUCCCGAGUUCAAUUCUCGGAAUGCCCCCACACUCACUUUACUCAUUUUUCUAUUUGUGGAUUAUAAUUAAAUGCAAAAAAUAACAACGUACUUUCAUAUUGCGUUUCAAACCAGGGUUUGAGGGGUUUUGUGUGAAAUAUUCACUAAGGAUGAAUGUAUGAUGCUUAGGGGUGCAAACGAGCCAAGCCUGGCCAGGCUCGGCUCGAGCUCGUUUACUAAAACCCGAAAUUCACAAUUCCCUUAAUAUGUUUUUAAUUUAAUAUAUAUAAAUAAUAAUAUAUAAAGGCUCGUUUAGGCUCGCGAGCCUAAUCGAGCUUUGUGACAUAGGCUUGAGCUCGAACUCGUUUAAUAAACAAGCUUAACAUUAAGCUCGAGCUCGGCUCGGGCUCGUUUAAAAUUGGUUUCGAGUCGAGCUUUUAACGAUCCGAUCUCGAGUAGCUUGGCUCGUUUGCACCCCUAAUGAUGCUAUAUUUGUCUAAAAACACAGGUGAUUUUUGGGUGUGUUGGAUGAAUGCUAUAAAGGGUUUUGAAGGAUGGGACAAAGUUUCUUAUGUGACUAGGUGUUGGUAAUUCUCAUUUACACCCGUGAUUGUGGUUUAGAUCCCAGAGGUAAAUUGGCUUUACACAUGAUACAUAUAGGAUUAGACAUAUAAUUAGCCUUAAACUUAUUACUAUUACCUUGAUUGAAAAAUGCAAUCCCCCAAUUUCACUACACGUCCCCACUGUCGAUAUUUUCUGUAAAUAACACUCAUUUUUUUUUGAAAAAAAAAACCAUUUGAAUUUUAUUAUCUUUACCAACCAUGUGAACAUACAUUAAGUUCACAUUGAAUUACAGGACACCAACACAUCAAGUAAAACCACAGAAUCUGACAGAUACAAAUUGCCAAUCUUAUUAAUCUUAGCAGAAGUCUUAUAAGGGUGAUCCACCUUCAAUUUAAGAUCAAAAAUAGCAACAUUAUCAAGAUUUUUUUAAUUAUUUUUUGUAAAAUGUUGAUUAGCCACAACAUUGCCUCCUUGGUUGUCACUAAAGACUCAGAAUUUUAGUGAUUUCAUAAGGAGAAAAAGUAAAGUUGCAGAAGAUGGUAAGGAAUUAUUCUUUUGAAUCAGUCCAAGUACAAUUAUUAGCAAUAUGUUUGUUUUAAAUUUGAGUAUCAGUUUUACCUUUAUAAUCCUUUGGGUAUCCGAUUAAUUUGAAACACCUUCCCAAUGUAUGUCCCUUUUGGCCACAUUUAUUACAAAUAAAAAUAUUCAUGUUGUUAUUUGAAAACCUUUUCUUGCCAUAAUUAAGUUUACCAAAGAAAGCAAAAUUAGUAUUUUAUUUACAAAUAUGACAGAAAAGGAAACUGUAUAUAUGAAAAAAUUAGGGUAAACCUAUCAACUAGCCAUAAAUUUAAAAUAUGCUAACAAAUUUGUUGAUGAUUAGUGAAACCGGGUAAUCCAGUUAGUUGAUUAUGUUAAGACUUCCACAAUACUCUUUUAGCAUGUUACAGUAAACUUAUUUGGACUUUUGUGUUGGAUUGGGCUUUCACAAUUCAGAAUUCACAAUUCACAAAUCACAAGCAGUGUGUUUGACUCCAUGUAUGAGGACUGUGUAUGUGUAUCAUUUACACUCCCUAAUCCUACAUCUAUGACAUGUCCACCAUGGGACUUGAACCCUCAACCCCUUUCCAACACACUGUUGGGUUUUCUAUUGGGUUUUUUAGCCCAUGUAUAUAUAUGUGGGACAUGCCCUAAUUUCACUAACACAUAAAAAGGUUUUCAGCCACCAAGAGAGUAAAAGAGAGCAAGAAGCAAAAGAGGGUUUUUUUCUUAAUUCCCGUUUUUGAAGAUACACCUGCAGUGUUUGGUAAUUUCCCGGAGAUCCAACGGUCCGUUUCCUUUGAUUUUUGGACAGCAACUUCCUAACACCUGGGCCCUUCAGAUCCAACGGUUGAAUCUCCGAGAUCAGCUCCAGAGACUCAGGAAUCGUCGCCUCUGUUUGCUGCUGGAAAUCAAUAACGUUUUUGGUGAUAUUCUUCUUUGUCUUUGCUUAUUUGAUUCCAUAUGCUUGAUGUGAUUUAGUUCCAAGUAUAUGAUGAUUAUUGUAUGCCUCUAGUACAUCUAGAGAAGAUUUUUGUAUUGCUCAAAUAUUGGUGAUAGUGGAUUUGAAGCGGCUCUAGUAGUCCCGUGGUUUUACUCUCCUUUCUUGAAAGGUUUCCACGCUAAAAUUCCGGUGUCGUUAUUGGUUGAUUACUUAUAGUUUUGGGUUGAUUAUAUUGAUCAUAUAACUUGCAUUGGGGCUGUUUUGUUGCAAGUAAAAAUUUCCUAUUUGUUUGCAUCCUAAAAGGUUCAUUCAAGACGGGAAUAGUUUAGUCAAACGAAAUAUUAUUCCGCAUUGUUGUUUACCGUUGUGGCUGCGUUUUUCCCAUCAGAUUGGUAUCAAAGCGUGGUUCUUGUUAUUAGGUUACUUGUUUGAACAAUGGAAGCUAAUACAAAUAAGAUUGUAAAUUUGAAUGGUUUUAAUUAUCAAGUUUGGAGAGGCAAGAUGGAAGACCUUCUUUAUGUGAAGGAUUAUUACAUGCCUGUGUUUAAUACUGAAAAACCCGAUGAUAAAACAGAUGCAGAGUGGAAUAUUUUGCAUAGAAAAGUUUGUGGGUAUAUUCGACAAUGGGUUGAUGAUAAUGUUUUGAACCAUAUUAGCGCGGAAACUCAUGCUCGUACUUUGUGGAACAAGCUUAAGUAGUAUGCUCGGAAGACCGGGAACAAUAAAUUGUUCCUGAUUAAACAGUUGAUUGGCUUGAAGUACCAUGAUGGAAAUCCUAUUAGUGAUCAUUUGAAUUCUUUCCAAGGAAUUAUUAAUCAGCUUGCAGGAAUGGGUAUCAAGUUUGAAGAUGAGUUACAAGGUUUAUGGCUCCUUAGCAUUUUACCGAAUUCUUGGAAAAAUUUUAAGACAUCCUUGUCCAACUCUGCACCAGUGGUAUUAUCACCAUGGAAUUGGCUAAAGGCGGUGUUUUAAAUGAAGAGAUGAGAAGAAAGUCACAAGGUUCCUCUUCACAUUCAGAUGUCUUGGUCACAGAAAGCAGGGGGAGAAGUCAAAGUAGAAGUCCAAAUAACAAAGGGAAGCAUCACAGUAAAUCUAAAGGAAAGUUUGUUGACUAUGAGUGCAAUCAUUGUGGUAGAAAAGGGCACACAAUACGAUUCUGUAGACAAUUGAAAAGGGAGAACAAGAAGGCAAAUUACAACAAUAAAAAGAACAACCAAAAGAAAGAUGAUGGUAGUAAUGAUACUGCUGAAGUUAACACUGCUACCAAAGAGUUCUUUAUUUGUUGUGAUUAUGAUAUGGUCAAUUUUGCACAUGAUGAUUCGAGUUGGGUUGUUGACAGUGGUGCUACUUGUCAUGUGACAUCACAAAGGGAUUUUUACACAUCUUAUACUCCUAGUGAUUUUGAGAAUGUUAAGAUGGGUAAUAAUGGGUUAUUAAAGAUUGUUGGAGUCGGAGAUAUUUGUUUGAAGUUUGAAACUGGGAUGGAGUUGGUUUUACACAAUGUAAAACAUGUUCCAGAUAUUAGACUUAGUUUGAUCUCUGUUGGCUUACUUGAUGAUGACGGUUACCAUAGUACCUUUGGUGGUGGCAUUUGGAAACUCACUCGUGGUUCUUUGAUUGUGGCAAGAGGUGAAAGAAGCUCAAAGUUAUACAUGACACACCCGAAGAUCUCCAAAGAAUCGAUCCAUGCAUCGAUACAUUGUGACAUGACCGAUUUGUGGCAUAAGAGACUUGGUCACAUGAGUGAAAAGGGGAUGUCUUUGUUGUUGAAGAAAAAUGUGUUGACCAGUGUGCAUGAUGUGAAUUUGAAGAGAUAUUCUCAUUGUCUGGCAGGUAAGCAAAAUAGAGUUUCCUUUAAGAGUCAUCCUCCUUCCAGGAAGGAGAAUAUACUUGAUCUGGUACAUUCCGAUGUAUGUGGUCCCAUGAAGACUAGGACACUUGGGGGUUGCUUGUAUUUUGUCACAUUUAUCGAUGACUGUUCAAGGAAGGUAUGGGUUUAUACUUUGAAGACUAAAGAUCAAGUAUUGGAUGUGUUUAAGCAGUUUCAUGCCUCGGUUGAGAGACAAACUGGGAAGAAAUUGAAGUGUGUUCGGACAGAUAAUGGCGGUGAAUACAUUGGUCCUUUUGAUGCUUAUUGUAGAGAGUAAGGUAUUCGGCACCAAAAGACUCCUCCAAAGACAACACAGUUGAACGGUUUAACAAAACGGAUGAAUAGAACAUUGGGUGAAACAGUUAGAUGUUUGCUUUCACAUGCAGGAUUACAUGAUUCUUUUUGGGGAGAAGCUUUGAAUACAGCGGUACAUGUUAUUAAUCUUACUCCCUGUGUUCCUUUGUUUUUUGAUGUUCCUGACAGGGUUUGGAGUGGAAAAGAUGUUUCGUAUCGUCAUUUACGAGUCUUUGGAUGCAAGGCUUUUGUGCAUAUUCCCAAAGAUGAAAGAUCAAAGCUUGAAAUGAAGACCAAGUCGUGUAUAUUCCUUGGUUAUGGCCAAGAUGAAUUCGGUUACAUGUUAUAUGAUCCAGUUCUAAAGAAACUCGUAAGGAGUCGUGAUGUUGUAUUUGUUGAAGUUCAGAGUUUAAAAGAUAUUGAGAAGACAAAGAUAGUUCCUCAAUAUACUGAUGAUCGUGUUGAUUUGGAUCCUGUUCCCCCUCAACAUUUUGAGCAAAUUAAUGAAGAUGUUCAGAAUGAUGAACAACAUGGUACUGAUGACAAUGAUGUUCCAGAGCAGUCAGAGUUGGAUGAGGAUCUUCAUCCAGAGUUACUGGUACCUGAUAUACCACCAUUUGUCCCACUUAGGCGGUCCAUGAGAGAUUGUCAUCCUUCCAUCCGUUAUUCUGCUGAUGAGUAUGUUUUAGUCACUGAUGGGGGAGAACCUGAUUGUUAUGCAGAAGCUAUGGAAGAUGAUCAUAAAAGAGAGUGGGUUGAAGCUAUGCAAGAUGAGAUGAAUUCCUUGCAUGAAAACAAUACCUUUAAGUUGGUGAAGUUGCCUAAAGGCAAAAGAGCUUUGAAGAACAAGUGGGUAUACAAAGUGAAGACUGAAGAACAUACCUCACGACCUAGGUACAAGGCCAGAUUGGUUGUCAAAGGGUUCAGUCAAAGAAAGGGUAUUGAUUUUGAUGAGAUUUUCUCUUCAGUCGUGAAGAUGGGUUCCAUUCGGGUGAUUCUUGGUUUGGCUGCUAGCCUUGAUCUUGAGGUUGAGCAAAUGGAUGUCAAGACAGCUUUUCCUUCAUGGUGACUUGGACAAGGAAAUCUAUAUGAAGCAACCUGAAGGUUUUCAGGUUAAAGGCAAAGAAGACUAUGUGUGUAGGCUUCAUAAAAGUCUUUAUGGGUUAAAGCAAGCACCAAGACAAUGGUACAAGAAAUUUGAGUCAGUCAUGGGUGAGCAAGGCUACCACUACUUCAGAUCACUGUGUUUUCUUCCAGAGGUUUGGUGAUGAUGAUUUCAUAAUUUUAUUGCUUUAUGUUGAUGAUAUGUUGAUUGUUGGCAAGAAUGCAGAGAGAAUUAUUCAGCUGAAGAAACAAUUGAGCAAGUCUUUUGUUAUGAAAGACUUGGGGCCGGCAAAACAGAUUCUUGGCAUUCGGAUUACUAGAGAUAGAGCUUCAAAGAAGUUGCAUAUGUCACAAGAGCAAUACAUUGAGAAGGUGCUUUGCAGAGUCAACAUGGAUAAAGCUAAAGUGGUUAGUUCGCCUCUAACUACCAACUUUAAGCUGACCGAUAGAGAUUGCCCUUCUACUAAGAAGGAGAUUGAAGAGAUGGAUAGAGUUCCAUAUGUAUCGGCUGUUGGGAGUUUGAUGUAUGCCAUGGUGUGUAAAAGGCCAGAUAUUGCCCAUGUAGUUGGUGUUGUUAGUCGGUUUCUGUCAAAUUCGGGAAAGAAGCAUUGGGAAGCAGUUAAGUGGAUUUUCAGAUAUCUACGUGGUACUUCCAAAUUGGGUAUAACAUUUGGAAAUGAAGCACCUAUGCUUGUUGGUUAUACAGAUUCUGAUAUGGCAGGAAACAAGGACAACAUGAAAUCCACUUCUGGAUAUUUGAUGACUUUUGCAGGGGGAGCUGUGUCAUGGCAGUCACGACUGCAAAAGUGUGUUGCCUUGUCCACCACUGAGACUGAGUAUAUGGCAGCAACAGAAGCAUGCAAAGAGUUAUUGUGUCUGAAAAGAUUUAUGCAAGAGCUUGGAUAUUUGCAAAAACGCUACAUAGUUCUUUGUGAUAAUCAAAGUGUCAUUCACCUUGCUAAGAAUUCUAUGUUUCACAAAAGAACAAAGCAUAUCGAUGUGAGGUAUCAUUGGAUUAGAGAUGCACUUGAAGACAAAUUGUUUGAACUUGAAAAAGUUCAUACUGAUGAUAAUAGUUCCGAUAUGUUGACUAAAGCUUUAGUAAGGGAGAAGUUGAAAAUAUGUUGCUCGAUGCCGGGAUGGCGAACUCUUCCUCAUAGGCCAAAAAGGGGGAGAUUUGUUGGGUUUUCUAUUGGGUUUGUUAGCCCAUGAGGAAAGCCCACUUAUUUAGCCCAUGUAUAUAUAUAUAUGUGGGACAUGCCCUAAUUUCACUAACACAUAAAAAGGUUUUCAGCCACCAAGAGAGUAAGAGAGAGCAAGAAGCAAAAGAGGGUUUUUUUUCUUAAUUCCCGUUUUUGAAGAUACACCUGCAGUGUUUGGUAAUUUCCCGGAGAUCCAACGGUCCGUUUCCUUUGAUUUUUGGACAGCAGCUUCCUAACACUUGGGCCCUUCAAAUCCAACGGUUGAAUCUCCGAGAUCAACUCCAGAGACUCAGGAAUCGUCGCCUCUGUUUGCUGCUGGAAAUCAAGAACGUUUUUGGGGAUAUUCUUCUUUGUCUUCGCUUAUUUGAUUCCAUAUGCUUGAUUAUUGUAUGCCUCUAAUACAUCUAGAGAAGAUUUUUGUAUUGCUCAAAUAUUGGUGAUAGUGGAUUUGAAGCGGCUCUAGUAGUCCCGUGGUUUUACUCUCCUUUCUUGAGAGGUUUCCACGCUAAAAUUCUGGUGUCGUUAUUGGUUUAUUACUUAUAGUUUUGGGUUGAUUAUAUUGAUCAUAUAACUUGCAUUGGGGCUGUUUUGUUGCAAGUAAAAAUAUCCUAUUUGUUUGCAUCCUAAAAAGUUCAUUCAAGACGGGAAUAGUUUAGUCAAACGAAGUAUUAUUCCGCAUUUUUGUUUACCGUUGUGGCUGCGUUUUUCCCAUCACACACCUUAUGACACCGCUAGGCCACAUGGCCUUUGUUAUAAGAUAUAGAUAUAGAUCUAUGCUUCCAAAUGAGCUUUGCAAAGAUAACAUAAAUAAAGCAAAUCUUGAGUGUUUUCCUUUUCUCAUUGGUUGUACUAUUUCUGCUUUUCUUAACAACAAAUUUACCAGUCAAUAGCAUCAGAGUAUUAUAAAACAUAAAAGUCUAAAAAUCAUAUGUGGAAAUGGAAGCACCUCAAGGCUCAAACUCACUCGUCUCACAAUACAUACUUGAGACAAUGUAAUAGCGGUAAACUCAUAUUUGAAGCAAGGUCAUAACAAAUACAUCAAGAAGUGGGCAUUUGGUCUAGUGGUAUGAUUCUCGCUUUGGGUGCGAGAGGUCCCGAGUUCGAUUCUCGGAAUGCCCCCCCUUCCUUUUUUCAACAUAUAUAUAUAUAUAUUGUUUAAUAUGAUAAUCUACAUUUAAUAUAAAGUAAAGUCAACUAUGGACGUGGGGAAGCAACUCUACCUCCUAAGUAAAAUAUUAACUUGUGCUUGCAAAUCUGAAAAGAUUCAUUAUCAGUACUUUUGGACUCGUCAGCAAUUACUUCUGCCUGAUAAUUAUGCAUUAAAUAUGAAAAGCAUAUGUAACUUCAUUUACCAGAAUAAGCAAAUAUGUAAUGUAACUAUUAUACAGUAACACUAUUCUUUCUUUGUGAAGAUACUUUUAGGCACCAACUUACUUGGUAAAAAUAUAAUAUGCAACUGCCUACCAAUAAAUAGAUAUCUUUCUGCUACCACUUAUUUAUUUUUACUUCUAUUAUGUACUUACUGCAUUUGUAAUUUUGUAUUAUUAACUAGCUGCAUAAAGUAAAUGACUAAAAAUUCAAUGGUAUCAAGUAUCAAGAACAAGAUGGGCAUUUGGUCUAGUGGUAUGAUUCUCGCUUAGGGUGCGAGAGGUCCCGAGUUCAAUUCUUGGAAUGCCCCACACACACUUUACUCAUUUUUCUAUUUUAGGGUUAAAUGUAUGAAAUAGCAACCUACU